rnacentral:tRNA from 3 species
GGGCAGGUAGUGCAAGUGGUCAAAGCCAGCGGGUUGUAACCCCGCCCCGGAAGGUUCGUAAGUUCAAAUCUUACCCUGCCCACCA